UUUUUUUUUUGACUCUUUCAAGGCCCUGUAAUUGGAAUGAGUCCACUUUAAAUCCUUUUGCGAGGAUCCACUGGGGGGCAAAUCUGGUGCCAGCAGCCGCGGAAAUUCCGGCUCCAG
rnacentral:ncRNA from 1 species